rnacentral:tRNA from 1 species
AGGGAUUUAGCUCAGUGGCACAGCACCUGCCUGGCAAGCAUGAGGUCCUGAGUUCAAUCCCUG